ACUUAAAACACAUUCAAAAAAGGAAAAGUACAUAAUGUGAAACACUUAUAAAAUGAAAUUAGUACACGUAUAUCGGUUUCUCGAACGUUAUUAUGCGUUAUAUCCAAUUGUAAUCCUCGACAAGAGAGCAAAAGCUUCUUGAUGGCGCGAGAAUUCUUAUCGCGAUCGUCAUUAGCCUGAUUCGAGACCUCCCACUGGCUAGCAGCUUUCUACGGACGCCGAUCCAUUCUUCCUCUCCUGCGAUGAACAUCAACAAUGAUGUGGAUUGAUUACAAACAGAAAGAUUUUACAUUUUUAAUUUUUCAACGUUACGAAGACGUUUCGUGUAAUUGGAAUUUAGAUAAGUGAACGUGGAACACUCGGGCAAUCGGAUCACACAUCCAAUACAAUCCAAAGUCUCGUUCAUAAAGUUGGAGUUCCACUGUAAUAUUUUAUUUGAAUCCUUCCUUUCUCUCGCGAAAGAAGAUCAUUUACAAUGAUGUGGAUCGAUCAUGAAUGGAAAUUUGAAGGUUUUUUUUUUUUUUUUACAUUUUUAACGAAGGCGUAAUUGGAUAUUUAUAUAAUCAGAUAAUCGUAUCUAUUAUGUAAAGUUUCGUACGUAUAAAUAGAGUUCCAUUACAUUCA